UGAAUUUGAAAAGUGUGCAUUAUUUUCAUUUCAAACCAAUUCCAUUUGCCUCAAAACAGAUUUUAAGACUUGUUUCAAGUGCAAUUCGCACUGUUCCAUUGCCUAGCAUGUGCAUGAGGGUAUUUUGGCCAAAUUGCAUAAAUCAUUCCAUUUCACUAAUCCUUGGGUUUUUGGCUAAACAUGUUUAAUCAGCAUCAUUAGCAGAGGGUAUAAAGUGAUAAUCAUAACAGAAAU
rnacentral:lncRNA from 1 species